GGUAGCACACUGGACGUGGCGCGUCCUCCCCGCGGUGGAACGGAUCACGAGUCGGUCGGUGCGUCCUGGAGAACAGGAGGGAGAGCCGAGGAGGCGGCUCGCACGGAAGGAGAGCAGUACGGUGCGGUCGUCGUGUGCCGACUGUCAAAUUCAACGACCGUCAGCGUUCUAUGCGUCGUCGGUGUUCGCCCAUUGGGCCGUCACCGUUGCCGGAAGCGGUGCUCCUAUUGGCUCGUAGCUCGCCGUUCCUAACGGUGGGGGAGAGACGAGACGCGCCUCAACGUCGUCCUGGGACCGGGUUCCGACCAGGAGAGACAGCACGAGGAAGCCCGGAAAGGGCGAGACACUGGCGAUCUCGGAGAGCAAAGAACCGAUCCUCCUCGACCUAUCCAUCUUCGAGUAACGAAGAUCGAAACAUUGGCUGCGGUACUUUGAGAACAGAUGCACGACGCGUGGACUUGAGAAGAGUUGACGUUUCGUUUUCAUUCGCAUCGACGACCUUUCUUUCUCUCGGUGGCUCCCUCGUCGAUUGCCGGAGAAAGGGAAAAAAUGCAACGGAGGAGGGCGUAUAGGGACGUUAAUUCUGGUGGAAGAGGCAUAAAGCUCUGAAUCACCGGUGAACCGGUAUCACCGUAUACUGAACGCGAUGUCUGUUCUGCGAACGCGGAAACCACGAGGAGCCAGCAGUCUCGCGCGGCUCACGGAAGGAUUCCUUUCUCCUCCUUCGUUGUCGUUCAUCCUCCUACUCUUUCACUCUUUUUCUCUUUUCCUCGUUCUCUUCCACGUACACAGAGAUUAUCUUCAUCCUCUUUGUGGCGCUUUUCU